GACGAACGCUGGCGGCGUGCCUAAUACAUGCAAGUAGAACGCAAAGUUUAUACCGUAGCUUGCUACACCAUAGACUGUGAGUUGCGAACGGGUGAGUAACGCGUAGGUAACCUGCCUGGUAGCGGGGGAUAACUAUUGGAAACGAUAGCUAAUACCUCCUAAUAUUGAUUAUUGCAUGAUAAUUGAUUGAAAGAUGCUAUUGCAUCACUACCAGAUGGACCUGCGGUGUAUUAGCUAGUAGGUGAGGUAUCGGCUCACCUAGGCGACGAUACAUAGCCGACAGGAGAUGGCGGUCGGCCGCCCUGGGACUGAGACACGGCCCAGACGGCUACGGGAGGCAGCAGUAGGGAAUCUGCGGCAAUGGGCGAAAGACUGAGCGCGAAGCGCGGCGUGAGUGAAGAAGGUCUCCGGGUCGUAAAGCACUGUUGUAAGGGAGGAACGGGUGUGAGAGUGGAAAGUUCAGACUGUGACGGUAUCUUACCAGAAAGGAACGGCUAACUACGUG
rnacentral:rRNA from 1 species